CAGCAGCAAUUCAUGUUUUGAAGUGCUUUAAAAGGUUCAAAACGUGAGGCGCUGCUAU
rnacentral:ncRNA from 2 species